GACGAACGCUGGCGGCGUGCUUAACACAUGCAAGUCGAACGGAAAGGCCCUGCUUGCUGGGUACUCGAGUGGCGAACGGGUGAGUAACUCGUGGGUGGUCUGCCCUGCACUUCGGGAUAAGCCGGGGAAACUGGGUCUAAUACCGGAUAGGCGUCAUCUUUAGAGUGAUGGUUGGAAAGGUUUUUGGGGGUAGGAUGGGUUCGCGGCCUAUCAUCUUGUUGGUGGGGUGAUGGACUACCAAGGCGGCGUCGGGUGGCCGGCCUGGGAGGGUGGCCGGCCACAUUGGGACGGAGCUGCGGCACAGACUCGUACGGGAGGCAACGGUGGGGAAUAUUGCACAAUGGGCGGGAGGCUGGUGCAGCGAAGCCGCGUGGGGGGUGACGGGCUUCGGGUUGUAAACUACUUUCGCGAGGGAAGAAGCUUUUUGUGACGGUACCUAGAUAAGAAGCACCGGCUAACUACGUG
rnacentral:rRNA from 1 species